GGUCCAGACUCCUACGGGAGGCAGCAGUGGGGAAUUUUGGACAAUGGGCGCAAGCCUGAUCCAGCAAUGCCGCGUGAGUGAAGAAGGCCUUCGGGUUGUAAAGCUCUUUUGUCAGGGAAGAAACGGUGAGCUCUAAUACAGUUUGCUAAUGACGGUACCUGAAGAAUAAGCACCGGCUAACUACGUGCCAGCAGCCGCGGUAAUACGUAGGGUGCAAGCGUUAAUCGGAAUUACUGGGCGUAAAGCGUGCGCAGGCGGUUUUGUAAGUCUG
rnacentral:rRNA from 1 species